rnacentral:rRNA from 1 species
GGAGCGAACGCUGGCGGCAGGCUUAACACAUGCAAGUCGAGCGCCCCGCAAGGGGAGCGGCAGACGGGUGAGUAACACGUGGAACGUACCCUUUGGUUCGGAACAACCCAGGGAAACUUGGGCUAAUACCGGAUAAGUCCGUAAGGAGAAAGAUUUAUCGCCAAAGGAUCGGCCCGCGUCUGAUUAGCUAGUUGGUAGGUAAUGGCCUACCAAGGCUACGAUCAGUAGCUGGUCUGAGAGGAUGAUCAGCCACAUUGGGACUGAGACACGGCCCAAACUCCGUACGGAGGCAGCGAGUGGGGAUACGUGACAAGUGGGCGCAAGCCUGACGUCCAGCCCAGUGGCCCGUGUACGAGUGAUGGAAGGUCCGUUUAGGGUACUAAAGUCUUACGUUUUAGGACGGG